GCCCCUGUAGCGCAAUGGAUAGCGCACUAGCCUCCGGAGCUAGUGGUGGCCGUUCGACUCGGCCCAGGGGCA
rnacentral:tRNA from 1 species